UUGGAAAUUACGUUGUUCACUGCCA
rnacentral:piRNA from 1 species